rnacentral:tRNA from 2 species
GGGCGAAUAGCUCAGCUGGUUAGAGCACCUGCCUUACAAGCAGGGGGUCACAGGUUCGAAUCCUGUUUCGCCCA